UCCGAACCCACGCACGUUGAAAAGUGCGGGGAUGAGGUGUGGGUAGCGGAGAAAUUCCAAUCGAACUUGGAGAUAGCUGGUUCUCUCCGAAAUAGCUUUAGGGCUAGCCUCGAGGUAAAGAGUCAUGGAGGUAGAGCACUGUUUGGACUAGGGGCCCUUCUCGGGUUACCGAAUUCAGAUAAACUCCGAAUGCCAUGUACUUAUACUCGGGAGUCAGACUGCGAGUGAUAAGAUCCGUAGUCGAAAGGGAAACAGCCCAGACC
rnacentral:rRNA from 1 species